UAAGUUGAUGGGUCAGGUCAUAGGUUAGGUUAAGUUUAAAGGUAGACUCAGGCAGAUGAAGUACACGCACAAAGUAAACUGUAGUAGUGGGUCAAUUUCCACAGCAGCCAGGGCCCGAAUUCCCAAAGGCAUCUUAAGUUCUUUGUUCAAACCUUAGUAGGAGUAUCGUCAAACAUGGCGCGACUCGCUACACCUCGGUCUCAGGGGAGAACUGCAAGCCUGCUGGAGCGAAUCAUACAGUCAGUCUCCUGAUUUUGCGGUGUAGGCACGGUCUCCGAACAACAAAGCAAGUCGCAAGGUCAACAAAUCCUCAGCACCUCAAUACUGGCAGCACACAGGUUGGUACACUGUCACAAGUAAUAAAAAACAAGGACACAACCCAAACGAUGGCACAAGCGACAGCAGAGCACCCUGAUGGAGGCUAGCUUGCUUGCUGCUCCAAGCUAUUGAAUAGAUUCCGGUAUCCUAUACUUCUGCGCUUAUACACUCUAACAUUGAGCUCUUACCAACGAGCCCUUCCUGGAACACGCGGAGAGAAGGAAGUGGAAGUAGUGCAGCGGCUGUUAUUUAAACGGGUUAUCCGCAGCACAACAGUACAUAACUCAGCCCGCCUAAAAGAUUAUUGGAAAUACUGCGGCUGUGAAGAGACUUAUGAAGUCCCAGCAAUAGAGAACUAGAAAAUGACAACGCUUCAAUAUUUGGGAAUAUCAGUACGUUUCAUCAUCGAUCUAUUGGGAGCUGUGAAUGCUGAAGUCAAUACAUUGACAGGGAGAGAGAGGCAGUCUGUUAUUCUACACACUGGACUAACUGGAGGCUGAUAAGAUAUUUUGGUUCUUUGGUCCAGUCAUUCCAAACACCUCAAUAGUUGAGAGUCAGGUCAUCAGAGGAGAGAACAUCACAGAAUUCAAAGGAAGAUUCCCAGACAGACUGCAGCUGGACAGAGAAACUGGAUCUCUCACCAUCCGAAAUCUCACCCUCAACAACUCUGGAGUUUCAGACAUUUUCAAUACACACAGAAUUUCUGAGAUGUUUUAUCGAUGCUCCAGUAUCACUUCCUCAAGUCAGAAAAAUCCCUCAAGGUGAUUUUCUGGACAGUUCAUCAGAGAAGGGGAGCUGUUCAGUGGGUGUUCUGUGGAGAACCAGAUAGAUAGGAACGUGUCCUGGUACAGAGGGGAGAAGAGACUCAACCAGACCAGCAGCCUUGGCCUCUCCACCAACCUGUCGCUCCCUCUGGAGACAAAGCUACAGGACAACAAUAUCUACAGCUGUGUGGCUGCCAACCCAGUCAGCAACCAGACAACCAAAUUCAACAUUGAAACACUCUGCCUUCAGUUUGUAGGUGUCAUUAAUUGUAAUGUGAAACAUUUUCUUUGUCAUUGGACUGGUUAAUUAGUUUACUUUGAUCCCCUGUCACUUAUAUUCUUCCAGCGUUGUGGGUUAGACACCAUAUAAAAUAAUAUUAUACUAAUAAUCUAAUAAAUAUUAGUAUUUACUACGGUAUUAGAAGCCUCCAACUGGACUCACCACAUCAUUUCAAUGUGGAAAUUUGGGUAAUAUUUGGUUGAGACAUUGUUCAAUGAGAUUUCCACCUUUAUUCACCCACCCAAAAAGACAGAAGUUGGAUGAAUUCCGAAUAUGUUCAACUAUCUAAAAGCACAACCAAAUUCCAAUAGAAAAACAAUGUCGGAUUUUUGGUAAAGUUGUCAUCUAAAUGUGUUCUCAUGCGCUUUCAACCAUAACUGCAACAAAGUUCAAAUCGGAAUACAUUGUCAGAUAUUUUAUAGUUGUACAACAACUAAAUGUAUUAUCGUGGUACUUCAUCUAAUGGCACAACCAAUUGACCUAGAAUGCAGUUUAGAUUACAUUAAAAGUACAUAGUUCAAUUGUGAAGAUUCCCACAGACCUGCUACCUUUCCAUGCUACAGUACAGUGAACAUGCACACUUGACAUUUAUAGUUACAGUAACCUCAAUGUGGCCAUGUAUGUGUUACUCAUUUUAAGGUUGAAUAAAUAUUGUUACAUUGGCUUGUAAUAUAGCCUUGACGGGCAAUUCCGCCACUUUUCAACCUCAUUCAUUAUUUCCAGUACCAAACCAGUGUCUACAGCGCGUUUUUAUGAUCUGUGGUUUAAAAUGCUUCUGUGACAACACAGUUCUCCUCACUUCACUGCGAUUCCAACACAAUCUCCUAUUGCGAGAUUGGGUUGCAAAAUGCAACACAAUCUCACAUUCAAUGCGUGCAUAUAUGUACAUAACGCAUUUCAUCAAAUUUCGUGCGGUUUUGUGUGGCUUAAUUCGUAAGAAAAGACAC